rnacentral:snRNA from 1 species
GUGCUCGCUUUGGCAGCACAUAUACUAAAACUGGAAUGAUACAGAGAAGAUUAGCAUGGCCCCUGCACAAGGAUGACACACAAAUUCGUGAAGUGUUCCAUAUUUUU